GUCUAUGGCCAUGCUACCCUGAACAAGCCCGAUCACGUCUGAUCUUAGCUGCUAAGCAGGGUCGGGCCUGGUUAGUACUUGGAUGAGAAACCACCUAGGAAUACCAGAAGCUGUGGCAU
rnacentral:rRNA from 1 species